rnacentral:rRNA from 1 species
CCUCCGGGGCGCAGCAGUGGGGGAUAUUGCACAAUGGGGGAAACCCUGAUGCAGCGACGCCGCGUGUGGGAAGACGGUCCUCUGGAUUGUAAACCACUGUCCCCAGGGACGAAGAUGACGGUACCUGGGGAGGAAGCUCCGGCUAACUACGUGCCAGCAGCCGCGGUAAUACGUAGGGAGCAAGCGUUGUCCGGAAUUACUGGGUGUAAAGGGAGCGUAGGCGGGCGAGAAAGUUGAAUGUUAAAUCUACCGGCUUAACUGGUAGCUGCGUUCAAAACUUCUUGUCUUGAGUGAAGUAGAGGCAGGCGGAAUGCCUAGUGUAGCGGUGAAAGGCGUAGAUAGUAGGAGGAACACCAGUGGCGAAGGCGGCCUGCUGGGCUUUAACUGACGCUGAGGCUCGAAAGCGUGGGGAGCAAACAGGAUUAGAUACCCCAGUAGUC